rnacentral:sRNA from 1 species
ACGUGGGGAUUUUUGAAUUACAUGAUUAUGCAACCAUACAGAAACCUUACAUAAGCGCGAGCUAUUGAAUACUAGGUUCAAAAAGUAAAACACUACUACCAGCGGAAAUGGUGGAACUAGUAGACGCACUUGAUCUUACUAUUAGAUUAUACACUCAGUACGAGGAACCUCGAGGGAAGUAAUGCUCCUUCUCUGUCCCACAAACAUCUUUACUCGUUAUUCCUUGAGCCUCUAAGAUUACUUGAAUGAAGUCGUCACUAAAAAAGAGACUCGUCAUAAAAAACUGAGCUGAAAAAAGAGUAGCUUUGGCUUGCUUAAAAUGUUUAGGAAAUAUAAAAGUGACAUCUAAUAUGACUAAUAUAAAAAUAGUAAAAAUAUGGUAUACAAAGAAAAAAUACACAUAAUGUAUUAAAGAAGAAAAGAACCUGCAAAUAUUGAGAAUAG